UGGCGAACGGGUGAGUAACACGUGGGUAACCUGCCCAUCAGAAGGGGAUAACACUUGGAAACAGGUGCUAAUACCGUAUAACACUAUUUUCCGCAUGGAAGAAAGUUGAAAGGCGCUUUGCGUCACUGAUGGAUGGACCCGCGGUGCAUUAGCUAGUUGGUGAGGUAACGGCUCACCAAGGCAACGAUGCAUAGCCGACCUGAGAGGGUGAUCGGCCACACUGGGACUGAGACACGGCCCAGACUCCUACGGGAGGCAGCAGUAGGGAAUCUUCGGCAAUGGACGAAAGUCUGACCGAGCAACGCCGCGUGAGUGAAAGAAGGUUUUUCGGGAUUCGUAAAAACUCUGUUGUUAAGAAGAAAGAAA
rnacentral:rRNA from 1 species